CAGUCGCCGCGGGAAAACGGAGGGUGCAAGCGUUAUCCGGAUUUAUUGGGUUUAAAGGGUCCGUAGGCGGACUUAUAAGUCAGUGGUGAAAGCCUGUCGCUUAACGAUAGAACUGCCAUUGAUACUGUAAGUCUUGAGUAUAUUUGAGGUAGCUGGAAUAAGUAGUGUAGCGGUGAAAUGCAUAGAUAUUACUUAGAACACCAAUUGCGAAGGCAGGUUACCAAGAUAUAACUGACGCUGAGGGACGAAAGCGUGGGUAGCGAACAGGAUUAGAUACCCCUGUAGUCCCUGUCUCUUAUAU
rnacentral:rRNA from 1 species